rnacentral:rRNA from 1 species
CCUNGGGGUGCUAUACUGCAAGUCGAGCGGACAGAUGGGAGCUUGCUCCCUGAUGUUAGCGGCGGACGGGUGAGUAACACGUGGGUAACCUGCCUGUAAGACUGGGAUAACUCCGGGAAACCGGGGCUAAUACCGGAUGCUUGUUUGAACCGCAUGGUUCAAACAUAAAAGGUGGCUUCGGCUACCACUUACAGAUGGACCCGCGGCGCAUUAGCUAGUUGGUGAGGUAAUGGCUCACCAAGGCGACGAUGCGUAGCCGACCUGAGAGGGUGAUCGGCCACACUGGGACUGAGACACGGCCCAGACUCCUACGGGAGGCAGCAGUAGGGAAUCUUCCGCAAUGGACGAAAGUCUGACGGAGCAACGCCGCGUGAGUGAUGAAGGUUUUCGGAUCGUAAAGCUCUGUUGUUAGGGAAGAACAAGUACCGUUCUAAUAGGGCGGUACCUUGACGGUACCUAACCAAAAACCCACGGCUAACUACUUGCCAGCACCCGCGGUAAUACUUAGGUGGCAAGCGUUGUCCGAAAUUAUGGGGCGUAAAGGGCUCCCAGGCGGUUUCUUAAUUCUAAUGUGAAACCCCCCGGCUCACCCGGGAAGGGUCAUUGAAACCUGGGGAACUUGAUUGCAAAAAAGGAGAGUGAAAUUCCACUUGUACCGUUAAAAUGCUUAAAGAUGUGAAGAACCACCAUUGCCAAAGGCAACUCUCUGUUCGGUAACUGACGCUAAGGACCAAAAGCGGGGGAACCAAACAGAAUUAAANACCCGGGUAUUCCACGCCGUAGACAAUGAUGGCUAAUUGUUAGGGGGUUUCCCCCCCUGAGUGCGCCCGUAAGCCUUUGGCCCCUCNNCCUGGGGAGUGUGGUGCCAGGAUGAAAACUCAAAAGAAUUUGAC